UAACUCCUCAUGGAUCUUUGCAUAUUCUC
rnacentral:piRNA from 1 species